rnacentral:rRNA from 1 species
CCUACGGGUGGCAGCAGUGAGGAAUAUUGGUCAAUGGCCGGAAGGCUGAACCAGCCAUGCCGCGUGAAGGUCAGUGCCCUAUGGGCGUUAAACUUCUUUUGUGCGGGAGCAAUAAUGGUCACGUGUGGCCAGACGAGAGUACCGUACGAAUAAGCAUCGGCUAACUCCGUGCCAGCAGCCGCGGUAAUACGGGGGAUGCAAGCGUUAUCCGGAUUUAUUGGGUUUAAAGGGUGCGUAGGCUGUGAGGUAAGUCAGCGGUGAAAUGCCCACGCUCAACGGGGUGAAGUGCCAUUGAUACUGCCUGGCUGGAAUGCGGAUGCCGUGGGAGGAAUGUGUGGUGUAGCGGUGAAAUGCAUAGAGAUCACACAGAACACCGAUUGCGAAGGCAUCUCACGAAUCCGCGAUUGACGCUGAUGCACGAAAGCGUGGGUAUCAAACAGGAUUAGAUACCCGAGUAGUC